GACAGGUGCUGCAUGGCUGUCGUCAGCUCGUGUUGUGAAAUGUUGGGUUAAGUCCCGCAACGAGCGCAACCCUUAUCCUUGUUUGCCAGCGAGUAAUGUCGGGAACUCCAGGGAGACUGCCGGUGAUAAACCGGAGGAAGGUGGGGACGACGUCAAGUCAUCAUGGCCCUUACGAGUAGGGCUACACACGUGCUACAAUGGCGCAUACAGAGGGCGGCCAACUUGCGAAAGUGAGCGAAUCCCAAAAAGUGCGUCGUAGUCCGGAUUGGAGUCUGCAACUCGACUCCAUGAAGUCGGAAUCGCUAGUAAUCGUGGAUCAGAAUGCCACGGUGAAUACGUUCCCGGGCCUUGUACACACCGCCCGUCACACCAUGGGAGUGGGCUGCAAAAGAAGUAGGUAGUUUAACCUUCGGGGGG
rnacentral:rRNA from 1 species